ensembl:lncRNA
GUGUGUGUGUGUGUGUGUGUGUGUGUGUGUGUGUCAAAGGUUUAAAAUGAAACAAGACAAACCUGCAUUUUCCUUUAAACUACCUCUUUAUAGGUCAGCCUUUGUGUGUUAUGUGUGGUCAUGAAGUCCAUGUUUCGUGUUUUCCCUGUGGUUAUCAUAGGACGGUGGAAUAAAGACUAAAGAAAGCAGUGGCAGUCUUCAGCAGGACAAGCAAAUAAACAGCUCUGACACCCCAGCACAGCCAGCAACCACACAGCCGAGUGCAAAGCAGCGCAGGCCUACAGACAAGAAGGACCUCAGUUCAGGACAGAAACAAUCCCCCAAACCCAAGUAAGGCAGACGACCAGAGACUUUCUACCCCCAGUAAAGUACAACUGGUCCCUGCAAACCACCAGCUAGCUCCAAGACUGAAAAUCUUUUAGAAUAAAACUAAAAAAUGAGCUAUAUCCCAUUAUAAAACAUGAAGAGAGAGGGAGAAAAACAAAAGCAAACCUGACCUUUUGUGGCUGUAUUGGACAUACAUUUAUUGUUUUGUUUUUCAUUCUGUUAUUUAAUUGAGAUCUCUUAUUUAGCAGUAAUGUGAAUGUAAAUACUAUGAAUGGUGCAGCCUUUUUGUGAUGGCUGGACGCUAAGCAGCAAACACAGUGUCACGUAACUCUGAAAAUAGUACAAAGAGGCCCAAAACCACUGCAGCUGAUUCAGCUUCAGUUUCAGCUUCAGGACUGCCGUGUGCCAAAAGAAAGAGACUCCGUCUGAGAUAAUCUCCCACAUGGGGAGAAACUGCUGGAGAAAUUCUUUGUAUUAAAUAGCCAAUUGUUUUAGAACAUCAAACAGCUAACAUAAAGACUCAUGCGUUUCUAUAGUUGCUGCCAAAUGUGGAGGCUGAAUGAGUCUGAUGUGUAACACUGAUACUUUUAGCUUACAGCAACAAGAAGGUUACUUAAGAUUUUGAUGUUUUAUCUUGACAUCUUUCUCUUCCCUAAGUCUUCACUUUAGCUGCUGUAAACUGUUUAGGUAUAUAUUUUUGUCUUUUUUUUUUUAUUUGUCACUUUUCUUUUAGGUUAUUUGCUUUAUGAAUAGCUGCUAAAUAGGAGAGAAAAUACCUGUGCAGAUUACUGGAUAUUAUUUAAAAAAACAACAACAACAACAACAAAAAACAAAAAAACGAGUGAGCAAUAGGGAUUUUCUUUCUUUCUGCUCUGACCUCUCAAUUCCAAAACGUCCGAUAUGCAGUGACUGCACCCUCUCAGUGUCAAAACAGAAAAACUGUCACACAGGCUGGUUACGCUCCAUCUGAAUGCAGAGGAUUGGGACUGGGGGCAGCCACGGGUCUAAUCUCGUUUGGAGGCCAUUGAAAGCAGUAGGAGCUACUUUGAGGGCACUGCCAUUCAAGCACAGGUUUUUCCGCUGCAGAGAGAAUAAUCCCCAGCAUAGAUACAACAUUAAAGUAUCCAAGCAUAACACACAGAGGGUGAAUUUCAAAUCCACCCAUUUGCAUCUUGAAGUGAAUGAGUGCCAACAAUGGGGCCCCGUUUUCAUGCACAGGCUCUGUGUUUUAGUGUGUAUGUGUAAAUGUAGUUUGCACUUUUUCUUGAAUGAGUGGACUUUCUUUUUUUAAAUCAAAUUUUAUCCAGGCAGACAUUCUACAGUAAUCUCAGGUGAUGUUUCCUAACAUAGUGAGUAGAUAUGCAAAUGAGAUGUGAAUUAUUUUUGAUUAAAGCUGCUUGCCAAAAGGACUGCGUGAUUCCUGAAAACAUGAUUUUGGUUUACUCAGACUGCUUUGAACAGCAGAUGGUAGCUGGUAGUGAGUUGUUGAAUUGAUUCUGAAAUAAUUCCCUGAAGUUAAUCUGACACAGGGUGUCGUCCCUGAAGCUACCUAGUUUUGUGCAUGAAGCUCUGUAAUUAGAAUUGAUUGCUUGAGCCACUGCCCAUUAAAACUGUGACACCCAUGUGAUGUGGCACUAAUUAAUAUGUUGUAUGCUUAUAUCUGCGUGGUCCAUACAGGAAAAAUAAAUAAAAUGUUGACUUCCUUUUGGGUUCUGCCUUAUGAUUGUGGCGAUAAGUUGAGAAAAACAGAGACAGCAGUGGGGUGUAGAUAUUUGGCGUACAGCAAGAUAUAGGAGUUCUUAUAUGUGUCUCCAGUUGGGACAAAUUCUAACAGAGUGAAACUCAUGAAGGACGC